UACGGGAGGCAGCAGUAGGGAAUCUUCCGCAAUGGGCGAAAGCCUGACGGAGCAACGCCGCGUGAGUGAUGAAGGUCUUCGGAUCGUAAAACUCUGUUAUUAGGGAAGAACAUACGUGUAAGUAACUAUGCACGUCUUGACGGUACCUAAUCAGAAAGCCACGGCUAACUACGUGCCAGCAGCCGCGGUAAUACGUAGGUGGCAAGCGUUAUCCGGAAUUAUUGGGCGUAAAGCGCGCGUAGGCGGUUUUUUAAGUCUGAUGUGAAAGCCCACGGCUCAACCGUGGAGGGUCAUUGGAAACUGGAAAACUUGAGUGCAGAAGAGGAAAGUGGAAUUCCAUGUGUAGCGGUGAAAUGCGCAGAGAUAUGGAGGAACACCAGUGGCGAAGGCGACUUUCUGGUCUGUAACUGACGCUGAUGUGCGAAAGCGUGGGGAUCAAACAGGAUUAGAUACCCUGGUAGUCCACGCCGUAAACGAUGAGUGCUAAGUGUUAGGGGGUUUCCGCCCCUUAGUGCUGCAGCUAACGCAUUAAGCACUCCGCCUGGG
rnacentral:rRNA from 1 species